GGGUUGUGAGGUUAAGCGACUAAGCGUACACGGUGGAUGCCCUGGCAGUCAGAGGCGAUGAAGGACGUGCUAAUCUGCGAUAAGCGCCGGUAAGGUGAUAUGAACCGUUAUAACCGGCGAUUUCCGAAUGGGGAAACCCAGUGUGACUCGUCACACUAUCAUUAACUGAAUCCAUAGGUUAAUGAGGCGAACCGGGGGAACUGAAACAUCUAAGUACCCCGAGGAAAAGAAAUCAACCGAGAUUCCCCCAGUAGCGGCGAGCGAACGGGGAGGAGCCCAGAGCCUGAAUCAGCAUGUGUGUUAGUGGAAGCGUCUGGAAAGGCGCGCGAUACAGGGUGACAGCCCCGUACACAAAAGCGCAUGUGCUGUGAGCUCGAUGAGUAGGGCGGGACACGUGGUAUCCUGUCUGAAUAUGGGGGGACCAUCCUCCAAGGCUAAAUACUCCUGACUGACCGAUAGUGAACCAGUACCGUGAGGGAAAGGCGAAAAGAACCCCGGCGAGGGGAGUGAAAAAGAACCUGAAACCGUGUACGUACAAGCAGUGGGAGCCCCACCACUAAGCCAGUGGUGAACUCCACAUACGCAUCCUUUGCUGAGGAUACGGUUAACGGAGCGAAAGCGACGUUCAACCUCAAAAGAAGCAGAGGGGGCUUAGUGGUGGGGUGACUGCGUACCUUUUGUAUAAUGGGUCAGCGACUUAUAUUCUGUAGCAAGGUUAACCGAAUAGGGGAGCCGGAGGGAAACCGAGUCUUAAUUGGGCGUUAAGUUGCAGGGUAUAGACCCGAAACCCGGUGAUCUAGCCAUGGGCAGGUUGAAGGUUGGGUAACACUAACUGGAGGACCGAACCGACUAAUGUUGAAAAAUUAGCGGAUGACCUGUGGCUGGGGGUGAAAGGCCAAUCAAACCGGGAGAUAGCUGGUUCUCCCCGAAAGCUAUUUAGGUAGCGCCUCGUGAAUUCAUCUCCGGGGGUAGAGCACUGUUUCGGCUAGGGGGCCAUCCCGGCUUACCAACCCGAUGCAAACUGCGAAUACCGGAGAAUGUUAUCACGGGAGACACACGGCGGGUGCUAACGUCCGUCGUGAAGAGGGAAACAACCCAGACCGCCAGCUAAGGUCCCAAAGUCAUGGUUAAGUGGGAAACGAUGUGGGAAGGCCCAGACAGCCAGGAUGUUGGCUUAGAAGCAGCCAUCAUUUAAAGAAAGCGUAAUAGCUCACUGGUCGAGUCGGCCUGCGCGGAAGAUGUAACGGGGCUAAACCAUGCACCGAAGCUGCGGCAGCGACGCUUAUGCGUUGUUGGGUAGGGGAGCGUUCUGUAAGCCUGUGAAGGUGUGUCGUGAGGCAUGCUGGAGGUAUCAGAAGUGCGAAUGCUGACAUAAGUAACGAUAAAGCGGGUGAAAAGCCCGCUCGCCGGAAGACCAAGGGUUCCUGUCCAACGUUAAUCGGGGCAGGGUGAGUCGACCCCUAAGGCGAGGCCGAAAGGCGUAGUCGAUGGGAAACGGGUUAAUAUUCCCGUACUUGGUGUUACUGCGAAGGGGGGACGGAGAAGGCUAUGUUGGCCGGGCGACGGUUGUCCCGGUUUAAGCGUGUAGGCUGGUUUUCCAGGCAAAUCCGGAAAAUCAAGGCUGAGGCGUGAUGACGAGGCACUACGGUGCUGAAGCAACAAAUGCCCUGCUUCCAGGAAAAGCCUCUAAGCAUCAGGUAACAUCAAAUCGUACCCCAAACCGACACAGGUGGUCAGGUAGAGAAUACCAAGGCGCUUGAGAGAACUCGGGUGAAGGAACUAGGCAAAAUGGUGCCGUAACUUCGGGAGAAGGCACGCUGACACGUAGGUGAAGUGAUUUACUCAUGGAGCUGAAGUCAGUCGAAGAUACCAGCUGGCUGCAACUGUUUAUUAAAAACACAGCACUGUGCAAACACGAAAGUGGACGUAUACGGUGUGACGCCUGCCCGGUGCCGGAAGGUUAAUUGAUGGGGUCAGCGCAAGCGAAGCUCCUGAUCGAAGCCCCGGUAAACGGCGGCCGUAACUAUAACGGUCCUAAGGUAGCGAAAUUCCUUGUCGGGUAAGUUCCGACCUGCACGAAUGGCGUAAUGAUGGCCAGGCUGUCUCCACCCGAGACUCAGUGAAAUUGAACUCGCUGUGAAGAUGCAGUGUACCCGCGGCAAGACGGAAAGACCCCGUGAACCUUUACUAUAGCUUGACACUGAACAUUGAGCCUUGAUGUGUAGGAUAGGUGGGAGGCUUUGAAGUGUGGACGCCAGUCUGCAUGGAGCCGACCUUGAAAUACCACCCUUUAAUGUUUGAUGUUCUAACGUGGACCCGUGAUCCGGGUUGCGGACAGUGUCUGGUGGGUAGUUUGACUGGGGCGGUCUCCUCCUAAAGAGUAACGGAGGAGCACGAAGGUUGGCUAAUCCUGGUCGGACAUCAGGAGGUUAGUGCAAUGGCAUAAGCCAGCUUGACUGCGAGCGUGACGGCGCGAGCAGGUGCGAAAGCAGGUCAUAGUGAUCCGGUGGUUCUGAAUGGAAGGGCCAUCGCUCAACGGAUAAAAGGUACUCCGGGGAUAACAGGCUGAUACCGCCCAAGAGUUCAUAUCGACGGCGGUGUUUGGCACCUCGAUGUCGGCUCAUCACAUCCUGGGGCUGAAGUAGGUCCCAAGGGUAUGGCUGUUCGCCAUUUAAAGUGGUACGCGAGCUGGGUUUAGAACGUCGUGAGACAGUUCGGUCCCUAUCUGCCGUGGGCGCUGGAGAACUGAGGGGGGCUGCUCCUAGUACGAGAGGACCGGAGUGGACGCAUCACUGGUGUUCGGGUUGUCAUGCCAAUGGCACUGCCCGGUAGCUAAAUGCGGAAGAGAUAAGUGCUGAAAGCAUCUAAGCACGAAACUUGCCCCGAGAUGAGUUCUCCCUGAGACUUAAAGUCUCCUGAAGGAACGUUGAAGACGACGACGUUGAUAGGCCGGGUGUGUAAGCGCAGCGAUGCGUUGAGCUAACCGGUACUAAUGAACCGUGAGGCUUAACCUUACAACGCCGAAG
rnacentral:rRNA from 1 species